CCAAUAGCGUAUAUUAAAGUUGUUGCAGUUAAAAAGCUCGUAGUUGAAUUUCGGGAUCAAUAUAUCGGUCGUGCCUCGGUACGUACUGGUAUCAUUGGUUUCUCCUUUCUGACGAACCAUGAUGUCAUUAAUUUGGUGUCAUGGGGAAUCAGGACUGUUACUUUGAAAAAAUUAGAGUGUUUAAAGCAGGCUCGCGCUUGAAUACAUUAGCAUGGAAUAAUGAAAUAGGACAUUUGAUUCUAUUUUGUUGGUUUCUAGGAUCGAUGUAAUGAUUAAUAGGGAUAGUUGGGGGCAUUAGUAUUCAAUUGUCAGAGGUGAAAUUCUUGGAUUUAUUGAAGACUAACUACUGCGAAAGCAUUUGCCAAGGAUGUUUUCAUUAAUCAAGAACGAAAGUUAGGGGAUCGAAGACGAUCAGAUACCGUCGUAGUCUUAACCAUAAACUAUGCCGACUAGGGAUCGGAUGAUGUUAAUUUUUUAAUGACUCAUUCGGCGCCUUACG
rnacentral:misc_RNA from 1 species